CGCCUAACACAUGCAAGUCGAGCGCGAAAAGGGGCAACCCUGAGUAGAGCGGCGCACGGGUGAGUAACGCGUAGGUAAUCUGCCUCUGCGACCGGAAUAACCAGUCGAAAGACUAGCUAAUACCGGAUAGAGCGCGGCUCUCGGAAGAGAUCCGCGGGAAAGGGUGGCUCCCGGGCAACCGGGGCUGCUGCGCUGAGAUGAGCCUGCGUCCCAUCAGCUAGUUGGUAGGGUAACAGCCUACCAAGGCUAUGACGGGUAGCUGGUUUGAGAGGACGAUCAGCCACACUGGAACUGGAACACGGUCCAGACUCCUACGGGAGGCAGCAGUGGGGAAUCUUGCGCAAUGGGCGAAAGCCUGACGCAGCGACGCCGCGUGGGUGAAGAAGGCCUUCGGGUUGUAAAGCCC
rnacentral:rRNA from 1 species